AGCCCUGAGGUGUUUUGACAUAUCAGAUUGCAAAUCCGAAGAAGCAGGCGGAAUUCCUGCCGGGGCUU
rnacentral:tRNA from 1 species